AUGUUGCUCCUGGUCCUCAUGAUAUUUUUGCUUUGUAAGGAUAAUGCUGAUGCUGAAGUAAUAACAUCAUUCUCCUCAAAGCAGCAUGUUUUGUCAGGAAGAGAUGUUACACUUUCCUGCAACUACAGUGGCAAUGUUCGCAGUCUGCAGUGGUACCGUCAGCAUCCCGGAUCCAAACCUGAGCACCUCAUUAUGUUCUUUGAGACCAUCCUCAAAUCAGAGCCCGCUCUCCGUCUGACCGCUGCAGCUGAUAAAGCAGCCAAAAGUAUGAAUCUGACCAUCUAUUCUACAGAAGUGAAAGACUCUGCCGUGUACUAUUGUGCCCUGGAGCCUACAGUGACAGGAAACACAACUACACUGUACAAAAACAGAGUGAGAAAGUAUAUUUAAGACAGUAGAUGAUGAUGAUGCACAAUGCAGAUUUUAAAACUACACUUUUUAUAAACUGGACCAGUUGCAACCUUUUGAAAUAGUUUUCAAACACAUGUAGAGUGCAAUUGGUAGUGUCCUCACCAUUAAUAUUAUCAGACUACUUAAUACACACUGUAAAAAAAAAAGUUGA